UCUUCAAAUAACAAGCUGCAGCGGGUUCACUGAAUGUCACGGAAACCUCAUCUCUGAGCUCUGUCGGACGUUUCAAAAUAUUCAGUUAUUUCCCGUCGACUUUUGCUCUUACUAGGUAACGGAAAACGUUCGGUGGCUUAAGACCAAGCAAGUAUUCCAUUGCUUGAGCGGCCUCUGCGAAAAUCUGAGAUCUAGACAGAGAUUAAUUCAUAUUAGAAGGAGAUUUCCACAUCACAUUUGUGUCUAGUUUAACGUCCUCAUCGAGAGCGUCAAUCAUGGCCCCAGAACCUGAAAAAUACAACUCAACAGCCGAGCCUGAGCCGGAGAGUACAGCCGAGCCAAAAACUCUGUUCCCGGAGAUAAUGACCAAUCAGGAAGCGUUCCUUAUGUACGGGAUUUUUAUCUUCUGUCUGGCUGUCUUCUGUAUUUUGCUGCUGGUUCUCUACAUCAAAUUGAAAAAUAAGGUGAAAAAACUGGCUAAUGCAGCUGGAUCGAUGGACAUGAAAGGUUAUAAUGGUUAGCCAGAGGAUGUCCGAGAAGGCUCUGUAUAAAGAUAGCCUCUUGCUGCAUAGCAUGUGAUCACCAAUGACUUACAUUAUACUCAUGGAUAAUGAUCACCCUUAGGACAAUGUAAAUUCUGUAAAUUUUGCUGCCUUUAAAAGUCCCCAUAGCAGUAGCAAGUCAUCAUAUCGGGAUAAUCACACUUUCAGUUAAUCGUGAUUAUUGUAAACAGAUAAACAUCGUAAACUUCUAAGCUUUUUCAAUCAUUUUUGCGAUUGCUAAUCACUUUUACACAUGUUAAGCCAUUUUAUUGUAUCUUGUAUCGUUCUUUGAAGGCUCUGCACUUGGCUUGUUCAAUUAAAAGUCAUCUUUUACCCA